rnacentral:rRNA from 1 species
AGAGUUUGAUCCUGGCUCAGGAUGAACGCUGGCGGCGUGCUUAACACAUGCAAGUCGAACGAACCUUCGGGUGAGUGGCGGACGGGUGAGUAACGCGUGGGAAUCUGCCCUCAGGAGGGGGAUAACGGCUGGAAACGGCCGCUAAUACCCCAUAUGCCGAGAGGUGAAAUGAAUUUCGCCUGAGGAUGAGCCCGCGUCUGAUUAGCUAGUUGGUGAGGUAAGAGCUCACCAAGGCAUCGAUCAGUAGCUGGUCUGAGAGGAUGAUCAGCCACACUGGGACUGAGACACGGCCCAGACUCCUACGGGAGGCAGCAGUGGGGAAUUUUCCGCAAUGGGCGAAAGCCUGACGGAGCAACGCCGCGUGAGGGAUGAAGGCCUCUGGGCUGUAAACCUCUUUUAUCAAGGAAGAAGAUCUGACGGUACUUGAUGAAUAAGCCACGGCUAAUUCCGUGCCAGCAGCCGCGGUAAUACGGGAGUGGCAAGCGUUAUCCGGAAUUAUUGGGCGUAAAGCGUCCGCAGGCGGUCUUGUAAGUCUGUUGUUAAAGCGUGGAGCUUAACUCCAUUUCAGCAAUGGAAACUGUAAGACUAGAGUGUGGUAGGGGCAGAGGGAAUUCCCGGUGUAGCGGUGAAAUGCGUAGAUAUCGGGAAGAACACCAGUGGCGAAGGCGCUCUGCUGGGCCAUAACUGACGCUCAUGGACGAAAGCCAGGGGAGCGAAAGGGAUUAGAUACCCCUGUAGUCCUGGCCGUAAACGAUGAACACUAGGUGUCGGGGGAAUCGACCCCCUCGGUAGCCAACGCGUUAAGUGUUCCGCCUGGGGAGUACGCACGCAAGUGUGAAACUCAAAGGAAUUGACGGGGGCCCGCACAAGCGGUGGAGUAUGUGGUUUAAUUCGAUGAAACGCGAAGAACCUUACCAGGGUUUGACAUACCGCGAAUUCUCUUGAAAAAGAGAAGUGCCUUCGGGAAUGCGGAUACAGGUGGUGCAUGGCUGUCGUCAGCUCGUGUCGUGAGAUGUUGGGUUAAGUCCCGCAACGAGCGCAACCCUUAUUUUUAGUUGCCACUUGUUGGGAUCUCUAGAAAGACUGCCGGUGACAAACCGGAGGAAGGUGAGGAUGACGUCAAGUCAGCAUGCCCCUUAUGUCCUGGGCCACACACGUGCUACAAUGGUAAAGACAAAGAGUCGCCAAUUCGCGAGAAUGAGCUAAUCUCAUAAACUUUAUCUAAGUUCGGAUUGUAGGCUGCAACUCGCCUACAUGAAGUUGGAAUCGCUAGUAAUCGCAGGUCAGCUAUACUGCGGUGAAUUCGUUCCCGGGCCUUGUACACACCGCCCGUCACACCAUGGGAGCUGGUCAUGCCCGAAACCGUUUGCUUAACCUUUUGGAGAGCGACGUCUAAGGUAGGGCUAGUGACUGGGGUGAAGUCGUAACAAGGUAACC